rnacentral:lncRNA from 1 species
AAAAUUUCCUCUCGACGCUCUCGACUCUCGACGGCGAUUUGGUAAACCCACCAUCGCGAUUGGUCUCCCUCGGAUCCUGAAGGUAAAUCGAAGGCUUGUCUGCUAUUUUCAUCGAUCUAGAGUCUCUGCUUCUUCUUUUUCUCUCAGUCUAGGGUUCGGUUUUUCGAUUUGGGGUUUUUUCGUUUCAAAAUUAGGGUUUGAAUACGAUUUUGGUAUAAAACGAAAGGGGGGUUUUGGUUUAAAUCGUUUCAAUCG